rnacentral:sRNA from 1 species
GCUGGGUGCAGUAGCGCACGCCUGUAAUCCCAGGGGCUCAGGAGGCUGAGGCAGGAGAACUGUGAGUUCAAAGCCAGCCUCAGCAAUGGCAAGGUGCUAAGCAACUCAGUGAGACCUUGUCUCUA